AAGAGACGUUGCCCUUCGGGGUAUACCUCCCACCCUAUGUUUAUUAUACCUUUGUUGCUUUGGCGGGCCCGUCCUCGGACCACCGGCCUCUGCUGGUCAGUGCCCGCCAGAGGACCUAAAACUCUGUUUGUUAAUAUUGUCUGAGUACUAUAUAAUAGUUA
rnacentral:misc_RNA from 1 species